UUGCAGGAUGAAGAGACAGAUUGGU
rnacentral:piRNA from 1 species